AGACCCGAAACCCGGUGAUCUAGCCAUGGGCAGGUUGAAGGUUGGGUAACACUAACUGGAGGACCGAACCGACUAAUGUUGAAAAAUUAGCGGAUGACCUGUGGCUGGGGGUGAAAGGCCAAUCAAACCGGGAGAUAGCUGGUUCUCCCCGAAAGCUAUUUAGGUAGCGCCUCGUGAAUUCAUCUCCGGGGGUAGAGCACUGUUUCGGCUAGGGGGCCAUCCCGGCUUACCAACCCGAUGCAAACUGCGAAUACCGGAGAAUGUUAUCACGGGAGACACACGGCGGGUGCUAACGUCCGUCGUGAAGAGGGAAACAACCCAGACCGCCAGCUAAGGUCCCAAAGUCAUGGUUAAGUGGGAAACGAUGUGGGAAGGCCCAGACAGCCAGGAUGUUGGCUUAGAAGCAGCCAUCAUUUAAAGAAAGCGUAAUAGCUCACUGGUCGAGUCGGCCUGCGCGGAAGAUGUAACGGGGCUAAACCAUGCACCGAAGCUGCGGCAGCGACACUUUAGUGUUGUUGGGUAGGGGAGCGU
rnacentral:rRNA from 1 species